rnacentral:rRNA from 1 species
GACGAACGCUGGCGGCGUGCCUAAUACAUGCAAGUAGAACGCUGAAGAGAGGAGCUUGCUCUUCUUGGAUGAGUUGCGAACGGGUGAGUAACGCGUAGGUAACCUGCCUUGUAGCGGGGGAUAACUAUUGGAAACGAUAGCUAAUACCGCAUAACAAUGGAUGACACAUGUCAUUUAUUUGAAAGGGGCAAUUGCUCCACUACAAGAUGGACCUGCGUUGUAUUAGCUAGUAGGUGAGGUAAUGGCUCACCUAGGCGACGAUACAUAGCCGACCUGAGAGGGUGAGCGGCCACACUGGGACUGAGACACGGCCCAGACUCCUACGGGAGGCAGCAGUAGGGAAUCUUCGGCAAUGGGGGCAACCCUGACCGAGCAACGCCGCGUGAGUGAAGAAGGUUUUCGGAUCGUAAAGCUCUGUUGUAAGUCAAGAACGGGUGUGAGAGUGGAAAGUUCACACUGUGACGGUAGCUUACCAGAAAGGGACGGCUAACUACGUG